rnacentral:rRNA from 1 species
UACGGAGGGGGAAAGCGUUGUUCGGAAUUACUGGGCGUAAAGGGCGCGCAGGCGGCUGCUCAAGUCAGGCGUGAAAGGCCUGGGCUCAACCCGGGAAUUGCGCUUGAGACUGGGCUGGCUUGAGUGCGGGAGAGGAUGGUGGAAUUCCCAGUGUAGAGGUGAAAUUCGUAGAUAUUGGGAAGAACACCGGUGGCGAAGGCGGCCAUCUGGACCGCAACUGACGCUGAGGCGCGAAAGCGUGGGGAGCAAACAGG